GUGCUCGCUUCAGCAUCACAAACACUAACAUUGGAACUAUAUGAGAUUAGUAUGACUCCUGCACAAAGAUGACAUGCAAAUUCAUUAAGCAUUCCAUAUUUAA
ensembl:snRNA U6 U6 spliceosomal RNA